ensembl:lncRNA
CUUCGAGUGACCUUAGACCUGCUGGUAGAGCCCAACCCCAGCAGUUGCUCGGCAGGUUUGCUCGUUUGCGCUCUUCUUGGAGCCGCGGCAACUCAGGGGCUGCCUGCCGGACCGUCAGAAUCUGCCGCCUUCACAGACGCGUCUUCAGCCACAGGGAGCAGUUCUCCACGCUUUUGCUGGAAAACCCCCCCAAGUACAAACUCAGCGCAAACCUCGUGAGCUCCAGAAGCUGACUCAUCUCUCAAACUUUCCUACUUACACUAAUUUUUCCUUCGUUUUCUUUUGAGCAAUACGUAUCUUUCUCUUUUUCUGAGUUUUUAUGAUUUUGUCCUGGGUUUGUUUGUGCCUAUUGUCUAAUUAGGAUUUCGCUACACCGUAGUGUUAGGGUCGUGCUAUUCUCAAACAUCUCUUUUUCAGACGAACUUUUUUUUUUGCCACUUCUGAAUCUGGGAGUUAGUAUUCUUUAAAUAUGAGGUAAUUUUUCUGAAUUUCAUUUGAUGACUACAAUACCAUAUGGAUUAUAUUUCCAAUAAUCAGAGCUAGUUAUUUAUUUUGAGUAACAGCAUUCAUUGAGUUUUGAUGAUAAACAUUUUGAUUAUUAGUAUAAAUACUAUUUUGUACAGUGGGAAUGGGACAUACCGUGUUCAAUUGCUGAUGGGCCUGUCAUCCCAGGAGACUUUAAGGUCAGGAGGGAGGGGCUCUGCCUGUUCUCCUUACAUGGAAUUCCCACCAGCCCCUAACAGGGGAGUAAGCAUUCCUGAACUGUUUACAGCAAUUACAGUGACCUCCGACAACCGCGUGUGCAUUGGCAUGCAAACGUCUCCAAGAGCCAUUGAGCCAAAACACUGCCAGAGGCUCCGUGUGACACCAGCCAAGCCCUGUUACUUGGGGGUCGUGAGUGUGACAUGCACCCACGGGAGAGGCAAGCACCCACCUGAGGACCAAGGGUGGGGCUGGGGGGCUGCCGCAGGCCCUGGCGUUUUCCUCGAUGCUUCCUCAUCCUGGGUGCUUUAUAAGAUGUGCUCUACGCUCACCCUCUCCACGAUCAACAAGACACAGGCGUGUUCCGGUCCCCGUGUGUGGUCACGUCAGCCAGCGUGCACGUCGGAGUUGGUGCAGCCUGGGGCUCUGGUUUUCUCUCUGGAAGGAAAGGCCACAGAGAACCAUCCGAAUCAUUUUCAGGAACAGUUGGGUUACUUGCAGCUGCGCCUGUCAUGAGAGUCUGGGCUCAUGAAUUUUAUUGUGCUGAGUCCCGCUAGAGAAGGACUUUACAAACCUGUAUUUUUCUUACCUCAUAAUAAAAGCACCAGGAAGUGAGCA